GGAUCUUGCAAAAUUUUGGAGAUUACAUCUUGUUUUUGAAUGUUGUGUACAUAUUUUGGAAUUUUCAAAGAAAACAUUUAUCUAAAUGUGACAAGAUUGUGGAAAUGUUUGGUUGUUGUAAAUGAACUAAGAGUGAACUGAGGGAGGAAGAUUUUAUACAAAAGAAUCAUAGUAAAAAGUUUCAGACUGGGCCAUUGCAGACUGUGAAAAUUUGCCAACUUAGUGUUUAUAGUAUCAGCAAUAUUUCACUACCUUGGAGUCUGAAAAGGUGAACGCAACCACAAGAUGUGCCACUAGGAAACAUUUGCACAGGACGUUAGCUGACAUUAUGAGGAAAAAUUGUGGUUUUGAUAAUCAGUUUGAAAGAAAGUUUUGGUUUGUGACAGACAACAUAAUAGUUGAAAUCAAUGUGAUCAAAGAAAGCAGCAGUACUUACAAAAGUCAUGUACAGAUACUAUUGCACAAUAAAAAAGCUGUUUGUGACACUUGAAGUUUAUGUAGGAUGUAUUCUGUAUCUAGACAAAAAGGAUAUCUUUUAUUUGUGAAGAAAAACAAACUGUGAUAAUUUUUCAUAUCUUAACUUGGAUUAUUGAAAUACAAUUAGAUCUGAUUAAAAUUGUGAUUUUAAGAGAAUAAUCAUAUAAACAUACAUGUAUUUUUACUCAUAAGCUUAUAGAUAAGUUUACUACAUGAAUAUUGAAUUAAUUAUUACAUAUAAACUAUAUUU